GACUUGUAUAUGUUAUAUAUGAAACACGUAUAUGAAAUAUUAUGAAUAUAUUCUUUAGAUCGGAGCAAAUAUUUUGACCAAUCAAAUUAGGGAGCCAUUCCUAAGUAAAAUUCAAAAGUAAAUGAUAGUUAAAUCUAUAUAAUUCACUACAAACAGUUAUACACGAAGUGUAAGAUGCGGAUGAUGAAGAUUUGCUGCACGUCACAUCAAUCAGAGUAAUGCUUGUGAUUACCUUAUUAGUCAUGACUUAGUAAAUCUUGAUGAAAAAAACUGUUUGGUGAAAAGACUUUUAGCAAAAAAAAAUCUUAUUAAACUGUCUAAAUGAUUACUUCUAUAAAAAAGGUGUAGUGCAUACAA